AGCUGGGGGUGCAAAGGUUCCCCACCCCUCUGCAUUUAUGGGGGGUUGCCCCUCUUACUCCCUUGUGCCCACAGAGCCCUGCGCUGGUGGAGGAUCCUCAGGAGACAGCAGGGGACAGCGAGGGGGUGGCAGGGGGGCUGCCCUGGCCCCUCUGGCACAAGCAGCGCCAAAUGGAGGAGGAUUUUGGGGAGCUGCUGGAGCAGUACAAGCACUUCAAGUCCUUGCCGGAGUCGCUGAGCCUGGAGCAGCUGAGCCUGGUGGGGAGCCAGUCCCAGGAGGAGGUGGAUGCACCCACGGCAGGGGAUGGUGGCCCCAGCAAGGUCCCCUGCAGGACACGGUCACUCGAGGAGGAGCCCAGCCUCGAGCCCUUGGCCUUGCACCUCCCACAGAGAAGAGCUGCGACUCUUCCCCCCAGAGGAACCGCAAACCUGGAGGAGACACUGGGCCACCCCUCCCCUGCACCUGCUGAGGAGCCACCAGCCUCUGCCAAGCCCCCCCUGGGGGUCCCUGGGCCACCACGGGUGUCCCUGUCCCUCGGUGGGACAGGCAGCGGUGCCACCCAGCCUGGGCCCCACAAGGAGCAGCGCAUCGUGUCCCCAGAGACCGACAGUGGCUUCGUGGGCUCGGAGGCCAGCAGGGUGUCACCCCCCAUGCACACCCCCGAGCAACAUCCCCCUGGUCCAGGGGCUCCGGGCUCGCUGGGACCCUCCGUCCCCAUCCCCAGCAGCCUCCGCACCCCACGGGAGAGAGAGACGACCCCGCUUCCCUCCGAGACAGCACUGAUGGGCAUC
rnacentral:lncRNA from 1 species